GACGAACGCUGGCGGCGUGCUUAACACAUGCAAGUCGAACGGAAAGGCCCUGCUUUUGUGGGGUGCUCGAGUGGCGAACGGGUGAGUAACACGUGAGUAACCUGCCCUUGACUUUGGGAUAACUUCAGGAAACUGGGGCUAAUACCGGAUAGGAGCUCCUGCUGCAUGGUGGGGGUUGGAAAGUUUCGGCGGUUGGGGAUGGACUCGCGGCUUAUCAGCUUGUUGGUGGGGUAGUGGCUUACCAAGGCUUUGACGGGUAGCCGGCCUGAGAGGGUGACCGGCCACAUUGGGACUGAGAUACGGCCCAGACUGCUACGGGAGGCAGCAGUGGGGAGUAUUGCACAAUGGGCGGAAGCCUGAUGCAGCGACGCCGCGUGCGGGAUGACGGCCUUCGGGUUGUAAACCGCUUUCGCCUGUGACGAAGCGUGAGUGACGGUAAUGGGUAAAGAAGCACCGGCUAACUACGUG
rnacentral:rRNA from 1 species